UGUACUCGUUAGUAGCCAGAAGUUCUAAUCGCUUUGGAAGAAGAAAAAGCUGCAACGAAGAAGAAAUUCAUCUGAAUAAGGGAAGAAAAAAAAGGAUUUCGUCUAGAUUUUCGAACAUUACUGAUCUGUAUAAAUUCUAAAAAGCAUUAGCACAUCGACCAAUAUUAUUUUUUGCAAAAGUAUCUGUAUUUCAUCGCAAAAGAUGUGGACAAAGAUAUUCACUCGCUUGCUGUCACACAGAUAGUGGAACAUUCACACAAAUACAUGGAACCGAGUAUAAAACAUUGUCUCCAAGCUGUGAAUCUAUAAACCUGUGUAAAUUGAUACGCUGCAUUCAUAAUCUUUUAGAAAAAUUCUUUCAAUGCGAAGUUUCCUUUUGUAUGUCGACGAGUGCACAUCGCAGUUCUCGUAGUACGCAUCCUUUGGAAGUAAUAGAGAAGAAUCAAUAACGAAAUUGUGGAGUGGGGAUAGUGAGCUUCCCGAGAUGACAACAAAGUCGAGCGUCCGACCGAUUUUAAUAGUAAACGGUUCAGUCUCGCUACGAAUUUCGAAGAGUACGCAUCGCAGAUCACGUAGUACGCAUUUUUUGGAAGUAAUAGAGAAGAAUCAAUAACGAAAUUGUGGAGUGGGGAUAGUGGGCUUCCCGAGAUGACAACAAAGUCGAGCGUCCGACCGAUUUUAAUAGUAAACGGUUCAGUCUCGCUACGAAUUUCGAAGAGUACGCAUCGCAGAUCACGUAGUACGCAUUUUUUGGAAGUAAUAGAGAAGAAUCAAUAACGAAAUUGUGGAGUGGGGAUAGUGGGCUUCCCGAGAUGACAACAAAGUCGAGCGUCCGACCGAUUUUAAUAGUAAACGGUUCAGUCUCGCUACGAAUUUCGAAGAGUACGCAUCGCAGAUCACGUAGUACGCAUUUUUUGGAAGUAAUAGAGAAGAAUCAAUAACGAAAUUGUGGAGUGGGGAUAGUGGGCUUCCCGAGAUGACAACAAAGUCGAGCGUCCGACCGAUUUUAAUAGUAAACGGUUCAGUCUCGCUACGAAUUUCGAAGAGUACGCAUCGCAGAUCACGUAGUACGCAUUUUUUGGAAGUAAUAGAGAAGAAUCAAUAACGAAAUUGUGGAGUGGGGAUAGUGGGCUUCCCGAGAUGACAACAAAGUCGAGCGUCCGACCGAUUUUAAUAGUAAACGGUUCAGUCUCGCUACGAAUUUCGAAGAGUACGCAUCGCAGAUCACGUAGUACGCAUUUUUUGGAAGUAAUAGAGAAGAAUCAAUAACGAAAUUGUGGAGUGGGGAUAGUGGGCUUCCCGAGAUGACAACAAAGUCGAGCGUCCGACCGAUUUUAAUAGUAAACGGUUCAGUCUCGCUACGAAUUUCGAAGAGUACGCAUCGCAGAUCACGUAGUACGCAUUUUUUGGAAGUAAUGGAGAAGAAUCAAUAACGAAAUUGUGGAGUGGGGAUAGUGGGCUCCCCGAGAUGACAACAAAGUCGAGCGUCCGACCGAUUUUAAUAGUAAACGGUUCAGUCUCGCUACGAAUUUCGAAGAGUACGCAUCGCAGAUCACGUAGUACGCAUUCUUUGGAAGUAAUGGAGAAGAAUCAAUAACGAAAUUGUGGAGUGGGGAUAGUGAGCUUCCCGAGAUGACAACAAAGUCGAGCGUCCGACCGAUUUUAAUAGUAAACGGUUCAGUCUUGCUACGAAUUUCGAAGAGUACGCAUCGCAGUUCACGUAGUACGCAUUGUUUGG